AUGUAGUCCCAUUCGCCGUGAAACAACGGCGCUAAGACCGUAAAGGAUUUACGGCUCAAUUGCGAUGUGCGUGCGAUGGCGACGGCGAUGGGAGCCCCCAUCAUGCCCAUCGACAUCCUCCAUCCUGGUCCAGGUCCACCCUUGUGAAUGGAAGAAAGCCCUUUACGAGCAGCCAAACCGAACAAAAGGAGGAAAACUCAUUCACUCGACCAUUCAUCGCUUGUUUCGACAUCCGACAAUGUUAUGACCCCGCCAGACGCCGGCACUGAAAAAAAUCAGUAUGAUUGCAAAAAGCCAAAAGAAUUGAAAUCAAUUGGAAUGCAUUUCUUUAUAUACAAGGAUCUUAAAUAAGAUAUGAACUCUUUGAAUAUGCCUU
ensembl:ncRNA lncRNA:CR46265 long non-coding RNA:CR46265